CCCUUAGAUGUUCUGGGCUGCACACGUGCUACACUGGCAGGUUCAGCGAGCUUCGUGCCCUGAUCUGAAAGGAAUGGGAAAUCUUUUCAAAACCUGCCGUGCUUGGGAUAGAUGUUUGCAAUUAUUCAUCUUCAACGAGGAUUGCCUUGUAAGCGCAUGUCAUCAGCAUGCAUUGAAUACGACCCUGUAUUCUGUACACACCGCCCGUCGCUCCUACCGAUUGAAGUUUUCGGUGAGCUUGCAGGAGGAAUUUUUUUGAAACUGGUUCGCUAGUGGAUUUUUAUUCCAAAUGCUAACGAAUCGAUGGCUUUAGAGGAAGGAGAAGUCGUAACA
rnacentral:rRNA from 1 species